AUUGAACGCUGGCGGCAGGCCUAACACAUGCAAGUCGAGCGGAGCGGCGGACGGGUGCGUAAUGCCUAGGAAUCUGCCUGGUAGUGGGGGAUAAGGUCCGGAAACGGGCGCUAAUACCGCAUACUAUCAGAUGAGCCUAGGUCGGAUGAGCUAGUUGGGGGGGUAAAGGCCUACCCAGGCGACGAUCAGUAACCGGUCUGAGAGGAUGAGCAGUCACACUGGAACGGAGACACGGCCCAGACUCCUACGGGAGGCAGCAGUGGGGAAUAUUGGACAAUGGGCGAAAGUCUGAUCCAGCCAUGCCGCGUGUGUGAAGAAGGUCUUCGGAUUGUAAAGCACUUUAAGUUGGGAGGCGUUACCAACAGAAUAAGCACCGGCUAAAUUAGUGCCAGCAGGCGCGGUAAUUC
rnacentral:rRNA from 1 species